rnacentral:rRNA from 1 species
AUGGGCCUACGGGGGGCAGCAGUGAGGAAUAUUGGUCAAUGGGCGGAAGCCUGAACCAGCCAAGCCGCGUGAGGGAAGAAGGCCCUGCGGGUCGCAGACCUCUUUGGACGGGGAGCAAGGCCGCCGACGUGUCGGCGGAAGGAGAGUACCCGUAGAACAAGCAUCGGCUAACUCCGUGCCAGCAGCCGCGGUAAUACGGAGGAUGCGAGCGUUAUCCGGAUUUAUUGGGUUUAAAGGGUGCGUAGGCGGACUGUUAAGUCAGCGGUAAAAACUCGGGGCUCAACCCCGG